rnacentral:rRNA from 1 species
AUGGGGCACCAGCACCAGAUGUUCGGAGACCCGUUCGCGAGCAGCAUAUCGUCGCUGGAGGCCGACAUCUUCUCCGUCGCCGCCGGCCAACACCAUCCGCAGUGGCCGGGCCUCGACCACGACGUCCCGUUGGCGCCGGCUGCCAACAACGGCACAUCCUCCGGCGGCUAUGGCUCUCCCGGUGGCGGUGACGGCUCGGGCUCCCACCGCAAGAUCAGCCACAACGCGUACGAGCGCGACCGCCGCAAGCAGCUCAACGAGCUCUACUCCGACCUCCGCUCCCUCCUCCCCGACACCGAUCACACGAAGAAGCUGAGCAUUCCGAUCACGGUGUCGCGGGUGCUGAAGUACAUCCCGGAGCUGCAGAAGCAGGUGGACGGCCUGGAGAAGAAGAAGGAGGAGCUGACGCGGGCCAGCUGCAAGCCCGGCGUGCUGACCAUGAAGGAGAACACGGCUCCGAUCGUGUCCGCCACCUGCCUCGACGACAGGGAAAUCAUGGUCCAGGUCAGCCUAGUGAGCACCAUGGCCGGAGUUCUGCCCAUGUCCAAGUGCAUCAAAGUACUGGAGAACGAAGGCCUUCGCCUCAUCAGCUCGUCGACUUCCGCGUUUCAGAACAGGACGUUCUAUAGCCUCCAUCUUCAGAGAACCCAACGGACGAUGAGCAAGGAGUGUCCGGCAUUUUGUGAAGAACUGGAGAACGCCCUGACGCAAAAGGCAGGACUACGUCUACAUCACCACCAGUAG